AUUUUUUUAGUAUAACGAGUAUAUCUGACUUCCAAUCAGAAGGUCUAGCUUCUAGAAAAAAUA
rnacentral:tRNA from 1 species